rnacentral:rRNA from 1 species
AUGAACCACAAUACAGAUGGUUUAGGCCCUGUUUGGAUGACAGCCAGUGGCUGCCCUUCCAAAAUAUUGGUCGGCAGGCUGGCGUGUGUUUGGUUCACGGCCAAAAUUUCGGAUCUCAACCAAUUAUUUGGUUACCCGUGUUAUUCUGCAGCAGCGUGCGGGCGAGUUCCCGGCGGCACAUUCCCUUGUUUUGGCGAGGCUGGCUUGGGCACCAUCCAAACAGCCCCUUACUCCCUUAUUAUUUCCUUGGAGUGGCGUACAUUUACCUUUGCAAUUGGGAAGCAAGAUCUGAAAGUUCAGUUUCAGUUUUGUGGUACAAGCUUGAAACAUUGGCAUAUAGUAUUGUCUUAUAAAAGAUUAGAUGCUCCCGCUUUCAGAGAGCUGAUCAUACAUAUCUUGCUUGAUUUGAUGUUGCUCUGUGUUAUUAUGUACGUCUCGGCCGAAAUUAAUAGGAAGGAGAGGCACUCCAAGAGAUCGUAUGUGUGCACACACCUUCCAUCACUAAUGGAGUUGAAUGUGACCGGGGUCGCGCUGCUAAAGCACUGCAUCUUCUGCGGUGCACGUGGGGACUAG